GAAAGAGGGUCCCCCAACUUUUGAGCAGCCCAAAAUGACACUCGAGAAGCUUCUCGAGUAUGGUAAUAUGCUUGUCCAGGAACAAGAUAAUGUUAAGAGGGUUCAAUUGGCUGACAAGUACUUGUCUGAGGCUGCUCUUGGAUCAGCCAAUGAGGAUUCUAUCAACAGAGGAGAGUUUUAUGGUUAGCAACAUUUCAUCUUUAUCCUACAAUUUAAUUCAGGAUCUAAACUUGUUUUAUGAUGCACUGCAAAAUAGCAGAAUCAGGGGAAUUCUGCUUUUUCGUCUCUUGGCUGAAAGUCUUUAGUAUUGUUUGU
rnacentral:lncRNA from 1 species